rnacentral:rRNA from 1 species
UGGGGAAUAUUGCACAAUGGGGGAAACCCUGAUGCAGCGACGCCGCGUGGAGGAAGAAGGUCUUCGGAUUGUAAACUCCUGUUGUUGAGGAAGAUAAUGACGGUACUCAACAAGGAAGUGACGGCUAACUCCGUGCCAGCAGCCGCGGUAAUACGGAGGGUGCAAGCGUUAAUCGGAAUUACUGGGCGUAAAGCGCACGCAGGCGGUUUGUUAAGUCAGAUGUGAAAUCCCCGGGCUCAACCUGGGAACUGCUUUCAAAACUGUUUUUCUUGAGUAGUGCAGAGGUAGGCGGAAUUCCCGGUGUAGCGGUGGAAUGCGUAGAUAUCAGGAGGAACACCAGUGGCGAAGGCGGCCUACUGGGCACCAACUGACGCUGAGGCUCGAAAGUGUGGGUAGCAAACAGGAUUAGAUACCCUGGUAGUCCACACCGUAAACGAUGAUUACUAGGUGUUGGAGGAUUGACCCCUUCAGUGCCGCAGUUAACACAAUAAGUAAUCCACCUGGGGAGUACGACCGCAAGGUUGAAACUCAAAGGAAUUGACGGGGGCCCGCACAAGCAGUGGAGUAUGUGGUUUAAUUCGACGCAACGCGAAGAACCUUACCAAGUCUUGACAUCCCUUGACGAUGCUGGAAACAGUAUUUCUCUUCGGAGCAAGGAGACAGGUGGUGCAUGGUUGUCGUCAGCUCGUGUCGUGAGAUGUUGGGUUAAGUCCCGCAACGAGCGCAACCCUUAUGGUCAGUUACUACGCAAGAGGACUCUGGCCAGACUGCCGUUGACAAAACGGAGGAAGGUGGGGAUGACGUCAAAUCAUCAUGCCCUUUAUGACUUGGGCUACACACGUACUACAAUGGCGUUAAACAAAGAGAAGCAAGACCGCGAGGUGGAGCAAAACUCAGAAACAACGUCCCAGUUCGGACUGCAGGCUGCAACUCGCCUGCACGAAGUCGGAAUUGCUAGUAAUCGUGGAUCAGCAUGCCACGGUGAAUACGUUCCC